UUUCCGUAGGUGAACCUGCGGAAGGAUCAUUAUUGUAUAACCGAGGCGCGAGGGCUGUCGCUGACCCGAAAGGUCGUGCACGCCCGAGUGCCCUCACACACAUCCAUCUCACCCCUAUGUGCACCACCGCGUGGGUCCCCCUUUGGCUUGUUCGGAGGGGGGCUUACGUUUUCACACAAACUUUGUAUGCAGUGUAGAAUGUAUUUUUUGUUUUUGCGAUCACGCAAUCAAUACAACUUUCAACAACGGAUCUCUUGGCUCUCGCAUCGAUGAGAACGCAGC
rnacentral:misc_RNA from 1 species